rnacentral:rRNA from 1 species
UUUUCGACCUGAACUCAGACGUGAAU